UGUCUCAUAGCUCAGUAGGCCAGAGCGCACCCCUGAUAAGGGUGAGGUCAUUGGUUCGAUUCCAAUUGAGACAA